GAUCAUGGCUCAGGACGAACGCUGGNGGCACGCUUAACACAUGCAAGUCGAACGAGAGAAGAGAAGCUUGCUUUUCUGAUCUAGUGGCGGACGGGUGAGUAACACGUGAGCAAUCUGCCUUUCAGAGGGGGAUACCGAUUGGAAACGAUCGUUAAUACCGCAUAAUAUAAUUGAACCGCAUGAUUUGAUUAUCAAAGAUUUAUCGCUGAAAGAUGAGCUCGCGU
rnacentral:rRNA from 1 species